AAUAAAAAAAAGCCUGCCUCGAAUACCAGCCUGCCCCAAAUAAAGGUGCUGUGCUUUGCGCAGCCUAAGUAAAUAAAAGACCCCAGCCAUAAUUUGAAGAUUUAUGACAGUCUGUCUCCUGAAC